GUGUGUGUAAUUUAAAAAAAAUAUCAAGCUGUGACCAUGACAAUAGGAGCUAGCUCCUCGCACAC
rnacentral:tRNA from 1 species